UAUUUUUUUUCCACUUUAACACACUUUCCAUUCAAUAAAGAUAGUCUAGUAAAUUGUAUAAAUGUCAUAACAUACUCUCUUACACUUAAUCCUAGAGGCAAUUUUCUUCCGCUAUCAAUAUCCUGUGGUACUCGGAAAACAGAUCCACCAUCUCCAUAGCCUUCUCUUCAAAUUCAGAUUACCCUCCUGAGACAUUCAAAUGUGGACAGUGGCCUAAGGUAGAGCUUCUGAUUUUCAUCAGAGAAGAAACCAGGGUCAAAUUGUUCACAACUGUACACAGAAAUUCAAGCAGCAGAGCUGGAGCAUAACAGGUGCAUAAAAAUAUUUAAUGAAUGA